rnacentral:rRNA from 1 species
UACGGAGGGUGCGAGCGUUGUUCGGAUUCACUGGGCGUAAAGGGUGCGCAGGUGGGUUUGCAAGUUCGAUGUGAAAGCCCCGGGCUUAACCCGGGAAUGGCAUUGGAUACUGCAGAUCUGGAGGAUCGGAGGGGGGACUGGAAUUCUUGGUGUAGCAGUGAAAUGCGUAGAUAUCAAGAGGAACACCAGUGGCGAAGGCGAGUCACUGGACAGUAUCUGACGCUGAGGCACGAAGGCCAGGGUAGCGAAAGGG